AUUGAACGCUAGCGGCAUGCCUUACACAUGCAAGUCGAACGGAGUGGCGGACGGGUGAGUAAUAUAUCGGAACGUGCCCAGUAGCGGGGGAUAACUACUCGAAAGGGUGGCUAAUACCGCAUACUCUUGGAGCGGCCGAUAUGGGAUUAGCUUGUUGGUGGGGUAAAGGCUCACCAAGGCAACGAUCCGUAGCUGGUUUGAGAGGACGACCAGCCACACUGGAACUGAGACACGGUCCAGACUCCGACGGGAGGCAGCAGUGGGGAAUAUUGGACAAUGGGCGAAAGCCUGAUGCAGCCAUGCCGCGUGUAUGAAGAAGGCCUUCGGGUUGUAAAGUACUUUCAGCGGGGAGGCGGUAUCCGCAGAAGAAGCACCGGCUAACUCCGUGCCAGCAGCCGCGGUAAUAC
rnacentral:rRNA from 1 species